GAUGAACGCUGGCGGCGUGCCUAAUACAUGCAAGUCGAGCGAACGGACGAGAAGCUUGCUUCUCUGAUGUUAGCGGCGGACGGGUGAGUAACACGUGGAUAACCUACCUAUAAGACUGGGAUAACUUCGGGAAACCGGAGCUAAUACCGGAUAAUAUUUUGAACCGCAUGGUUCAAAAGUGAAAGACGGUCUUGCUGUCACUUAUAGAUGGAUCCGCGCUGCAUUAGCUAGUUGGUAAGGUAACGGCUUACCAAGGCAACGAUGCAUAGCCGACCUGAGAGGGUGAUCGGCCACACUGGAACUGAGACACGGUCCAGACUCCUACGGGAGGCAACAGUAGGGAAUCUUCCGCAAUGGGCGAAAGCCUGACGGAGCAACGCCGCGUGAGUGAUGAAGGUCUUCGGAUCGUAAAACUCUGUUAUUAGGGAAGAACAUAUGUGUAAGUAACUGUGCACAUCUUGACGGUACCUAAUCAGAAAGCCACGGCUAACUACGUGCCAGCAGCCGCGGUAAUACGUAGGUGGCAAGCGUUAUCCGGAAUUAUUGGGCGUAAAGCGCGCGUAGGCGGUUUUUUAAGUCUGAUGUGAAAGCCCACGGCUCAACCGUGGAGGGUCAUUGGAAACUGGAAAACUUGAGUGCAGAAGAGGAAAGUGGAAUUCCAUGUGUAGCGGUGAAAUGCGCAGAGAUAUGGAGGAACACCAGUGGCGAAGGCGACUUUCUGGUCUGUAACUGACGCUGAUGUGCGAAAGCGUGGGGAUCAAACAGG
rnacentral:rRNA from 1 species